CCCGUAGCUGCCCACCAUGUAGUCCGACUUGUCAACUGUGGACACAGAGCGGAGGGCAUUACAAGGAAAAAAAAUGACAGUAAAAAUAACAUUGUACAACGCAGG